UGAGGAAUAUUGGACAAUGGGCGCAAGCCUGAUCCAGCAAUGCCGCGUGCAGGAUGAAGGCCUUCGGGUUGUAAACUGCUUUUGUACGGAGCGAAAAGGUCUGCCCUAAUACGGUGGGCUCAUGACGGUACCGUAAGAAUAAGCACCGGCUAACUACGUGCCAGCAGCCGCGGUAAUACGUAGGGUGCGAGCGUUAAUCGGAAUUACUGGGCGUAAAGCGUGCGCAGGCGGUUAUAUAGGACAGAUGUGAAAUCCCCGGGCUCAACCUGGGACCUGCAUUUGUGACUGUAUAGCUAGAGUACGGUAGAGGGGGAUGGAAUUCCGCGUGUAGCAGUGAAAUGCGUAGAUAUGCGGAGGAACACCGAUGGCGAAGGCAAUCCCCUGGACCUGUACUGACUCUCAUGCACGAAAGCGUGGGGAGCAAACA
rnacentral:rRNA from 1 species